GCCAGGCGCGGUGGCGCAUGCCUGUAGCCCAACUACUCAGGAGGCUGAGGCUGGAGGAUCUCUUGAGUCCAGGAAUUCUGGGCUGUAGUGCGCUAUGCUGGAUUGGGUGUCCACACUAAGUUCGGCAUCGAUAUGGUGACCUCCUGGGAGUGGGGGACCACCAGGUUGCCUAAGGAGGGGUGAACCAGCCCAGGUUGGAAACGGAGCAGGUCAAAACUCCCUUGCUGAUCAGUAGUGGGAUAGCAUCUGUGAAUAGCCACUGCACUCCAGCCUGGGCAACAUAGCAAGACCCCUUCUCUA
rnacentral:SRP_RNA from 1 species